UUAUAAAAUUUUAUUAUAGUUAAUUGAGGUUUAUUUUAUGUUAAAAAAAAUAGUUUAAAUUUUAGUUUAGUAGAAAAAAUUAUUUAUUAUGAUAGUGAAUUAAGGUAUUGAGAAAGAAGAGUUUAUAAUAAUUGAAUAAGAAAAAUUAAAAUUUUGUACCUUGUGUCUCAGGGUUUAUUAAAUUUUGAUUUAGAAAAAUUAAUUCUCGAAUUUAAAAGAGCUAAUUUUAUAUAUUUUUAUUGUUAAAUAAAUAUUAUUAAUAUAAAAUUAGAAAUGAGAUGUUAUUCGUUUUUAGUAUAUCUAGUUAUUUAAGAAAAAAAUUUAAUUUUAUUUUUAAAUAAUAAAAAUUAAAUUUAUUAAUUUUUGUUAUUAAAUUUAAAUUUUUUAGGGGAUAAGCUUUAAAAAAUAAUAUUAAAAAUAUUUGUAAUUGAUUAAAAAAUAUAGGAUUAGAAGUUUUUAAUUUUAUAAUAAUGUUAUAGUUAAUUUUUUGUUAUUUAGGAUUUAUAUUUAUUUUAAUUUUUUUAUUAAAUAUAAAGAGUUAAUUUUUUAAUUUUUGUUAUAAUGAUAGAAUUAGUAGUGAUUUUUUUUUGAUUAAUAUUGAAAUGGUUUAAGAUUAAUUUAAGUAAUUCGGCAAAUAAUAUUUUUCACCUGUUUAUUAAAAACAUGGCCUAUUGAGAAUAAUUUUAGGUCUAGCCUGCCCCCUGAGGACUUAAAGGGCCGCGGUAUUUUGACCGUGCUAAGGUAGCAUAAUCAUUAGUUUCUUAAUUAGAAGCUGGAAUGAAUGGUUGGAUGAGAAAAUAACUUUCUCAAAUUAAAUGAAAUGAAUUUUAUAUUUAAGUAAAAAAGCUUAAAUUAAAUUAAAAGACGAGAAGACCCUAUAGAGUUUUAUAUAAUUUUAUAUUAAAAUUUUUAGUUAUUUUAAAUUUUAAAUUAUAAUUAUAUUUAGUUGGGGUGAUUUUAAAAUUAAUUAAACUUUUAAAAUUGUUGUAAACAUAAAUUAAUGUUGAAUUGAUCCAUAUUUAAUGAUUAGAAGAAAAAAUUACCUUAGGGAUAACAGCGUAAUUUUUUUUGAGAGUUCAAAUCGAAAAAAAAGAUUGCGACCUCGAUGUUGGAUUAAAAUUUAUUUUUGGUGUAGAAGCUAAAAAUGUAGGUCUGUUCGACCUUUGAAAUUUUACAUGAUCUGAGUUUAAACCGGUGUAAGCCAGGUUGGUUUCUAUCUUUAGUAGAAAAAUAUAUUUUAGUACGAAAGGACCAAAUAUUUAAUAAAUUAUUUAUAUAAAGAAAAUUAUUAAUUUA
rnacentral:rRNA from 1 species